rnacentral:rRNA from 1 species
GGUUAAGCGACUAAGCGUACACGGUGGAUGCCCUGGCAGUCAGAGGCGAUGAAGGGCGUGCUAAUCUGCGAUAAGCGCCGGUAAGGUGAUAUGAACCGUUAUAACCGGCGAUACCCGAAUGGGGAAACCCAGUGUGACUCGUCACACUAUCAUUAACUGAAUCCAUAGGUUAAUGAGGCGAACCGGGGGAACUGAAACAUCUAAGUACCCCGAGGAAAAGAAAUCAACCGAGAUUCCCCCAGUAGCGGCGAGCGAACGGGGAGGAGCCCAGAGCCUGAAUCAGCAUGUGUGUUAGUGGAAGCGUCUGGAAAGACGCGCGAUACAGGGUGACAGCCCCGUACACAAAAGCGUAUGUGCUGUGAGCUCGAUGAGUAGGGCGGGACACGUGGUAUCCUGUCUGAAUAUGGGGGGACCAUCCUCCAAGGCUAAAUACUCCUGACUGACCGAUAGUGAACCAGUACCGUGAGGGAAAGGCGAAAAGAACCCCGGCGAGGGGAGUGAAAAAGAACCUGAAACCGUGUACGUACAAGCAGUGGGAGCACAGGUUUACCUGUGUGACUGCGUACCUUUUGUAUAAUGGGUCAGCGACUUAUAUUCUGUAGCAAGGUUAACCGAAUAGGGGAGCCGGAGGGAAACCGAGUCUUAAUUGGGCGUUAAGUUGCAGGGUAUAGACCCGAAACCCGGUGAUCUAGCCAUGGGCAGGUUGAAGGUUGGGUAACACUAACUGGAGGACCGAACCGACUAAUGUUGAAAAAUUAGCGGAUGACCUGUGGCUGGGGGUGAAAGGCCAAUCAAACCGGGAGAUAGCUG